GAGCGCUGGCCGGCUCGCAAGCCGGCCACGCGGCUUCGCUUUGCAAAUGGAACUCGUUUCCCUUUACAAAGCUCGGCCUCGCGGCCGGGUUGCGACCCGGCUAGCGUACCGAGCGAGCGAAAUGUGUCAAAGGUAUGCGUAGAUCCGCACUGCGUCAGUUGGAAUAGCAAAGCGUGUGUGCUAGCGAUCGGUGAGCAAGGGGAAGAAGAAAGAAGCUAGAGAGUCGGGUAGUGCGCGGGCGAUGGAGGAGGACGUAGGCGGCGGUACCUCUUUGAAGAAACGAGGAUAGAUGGCACUCUGUUGGAGAGGGGUUAGUGGAUAGAGGAGGGAGGAAAGGGGGUGUAGAUGGGUGCAGCAGUCCGACACUCCGUCGGCCGAUGCGCACCUCUGUGUGCCGCACCGCUCGAGCUCCACAAUUGACGCACACCUCUGGAGCCAACCUCUACGACCUGGCCGACCCUUCGACGUUGGCCGUCUUCAAAAGACAACGACCUGUACCGGCACGCUCUGCUGCCGCCGCUCGGUCUCUUCUCCUACGGUUCUACGACGUUGGUACCACCGGCAUACGACUUUGGACGUACACAAGCUCGACGUACACGAUGUUGCUGCUACGGUACGAUCUCCUGCCUUCGAUGUUCGAGCUUCCUCCUUUUGGUGGCCGCUGCCCUAGGAAAAACAAAAACGACCUUGGAAUGUAACAAAAACGACAUUUGUACGAAAAACAAACAACCUUGGUACAUGAAAAACCGAUCUCCUCCCGCUGGUCGGCUGGUGGCCACUAGUGCUGCCGGUGGCUGUCCGCUCCGUUCGCCGGGUCCCACCGGCCGCUCGACCGAUCCAAAACCCCUCUAGUUCUGACGGACAUAGUGUCCGCGGUACCGAUAUAAAAAGAAAAGAAUUGCUUAGUCAACCCCUUCCUCUUCCAAUAGUACGCCAGCAUUAACGUGUUUAGCAUGCACGCGCCACGCUGGCCGGCUUUAAAGCCGGCCGCGUGGCCGCGGAUAGUGAGCGGAACUCGUUUAGUCUGGACGCCGCGACCCCACCCACGCCAAAUUUCAACGGCCGUACCGACGUGCUUGGCCGCUAGACUAAACGCUUGUUAAACGUUCGUUGACAAGUGCCCCCAGACGGAGGCGACGGCUGGCCCGGCGCCUGUCCUCGUUAAUUCCACAAGAAGAGGGCCGGUCCAGAACGGAAUUAUGCGAACGCCGGGUGGCCCGGGCCUUACGUAAACGAGGUAAAAAAAUGGUCGUG
rnacentral:rRNA from 1 species